rnacentral:rRNA from 1 species
UACGGGGGGGGCAAGCGUUGUUCGGAAUUACUGGGCGUAAAGCGCGCGUAGGCGGCCCUGUAAGUCCGUUGUGAAAGUCAAAGGCUCAACCUUUGAAAGCCGAUGGAUACUGCAGGGCUAGAGUCCGGAAGAGGCGAGUGGAAUUCCUGGUGUAGCGGUGGAAUGCGCAGAUAUCAGGAGGAACACCAAUAGCGAAGGCAGCUCGCUGGGACGGUACUGACGCUAAGGCGCGAAAGCGUGGGGAGCGAACAGG